GUGAAUCAUCGAGUCUUUGAACGCACAUUGCGCCCAUUAGUAUUCUAGUGGGCAUGCCUGUUCGAGCGUCAUUUCAACCCUUAAGCCUAGCUUAGUGUUGGGAGACUGCCUAAUACGCAGCUCCUCAAAACCAGUGGCGGUAGUCGGUUCGUGCUCUGAGCGUAGUAAUUCUUUAUCUCGCUUCUGCAAGCCGGACUGGCAACAGCCAUGAAACCGCACCCUUCGGGGGCACUUUUUUAAUGGUUGACCUCGGAUCAGGUAGGAAUACCCGCUGAACUUAAGCAUAUCAAUAAGCGGAGG
rnacentral:rRNA from 1 species